rnacentral:rRNA from 1 species
AGAACGAACGCUGGCGGCAGGCUUAACACAUGCAAGUCGAACGCUCGUAGCAAUACGGGAGUGGCAGACGGGUGAGUAACGCGUGGGAACAUACCCUCCGGUUCGGAAUAGCUCAGGGAAACUUGGAUUAAUACCGGAUACGGCUGAGAGGCGAAAGAUUUAUCGCCGGAGGAUUGGCCCGCGUUCGAUUAGCUUGUUGGUGAGGUAACGGCUCACCAAGGCGAUGAUCGAUAGCUGGUCUGAGAGGAUGAUCAGCCACAUUGGGACUGAGACACGGCCCAAACUCCUACGGGAGGCAGCAGUGGGGAAUAUUGGACAAUGGGCGCAAGCCUGAUCCAGCCAUGCCGCGUGAGUGAUGACGGCCUUAGGGUGUAAAGCUCUUUCGCUCGGACGAUAAUGACGGUACCGAGAUAAGAACGCCCGGCUAACUUCGUGCCAGCAGCCGC